UAAAUUCUUUGGCUUCUCCCUGCGGACCUCAGUGGAUGAGGAAGCGAUCAAGAUGUUGCUGUCUGCCCUGCUCCACACUUCCCAUGAGGAGCUGCAGGACAGGGAGGGCAUUGCUGUGGCGCUCAGUGUUGUGUCCAUGAAACAUCUGAAGAUAGUCCUGGAAGAAGUGAGACUAUAAGUACUGUCCUCACUGACAAGGACUCAUCGCCCACCCUGAAACUCAUGAAGGAACAUCAGCGAAGGAAAUGGGUGAUGGUAUGUAGUACCAUCUGUUUAACUUACGGAAAAAUAAUUGUAGAGCACAAGGGAGCCA